CUUAGUAGUUGACCAGCGAUACGAGCGUCGGGAAGUACAAAUUCGUAUUUCUACGCUCUCGACUAUAAAAAACAUGAACGUUGACAAGUUAAUUAGUGAAAUAUAUGUGAGAUCACCUUUGUGGGACCGAAGAAAUAGUAAUCAUCAUAACAGAUUCGUUUUAGAUAAACUAUGGGAUGAAGUGGCCCAUCAAUUACACACAACACGAAUUACAGCCAGAAGUAAAUGGAAAGCAUUGAGGGAUCAAUUUAGGACUAUCCUGGCGUCGCUUCCUAAAUCAAAAUUAAAUGAUCUUACAAUGAAUUCCUACGAAGGCCAAUGGAAAUAUUUUCGACGUCUUUUAUUUUUAAAAGAUCAGUUUAGACUUAGAAUAUCUAAAGAAAAUUUUACAAUAAUGGAUGAAGACAAAGUUCUUAAUGAUACGUCUCAAAAUUUGCAAGAAGACAGCAAAUAUGUGGAUGAAAACGAGGACCAACUAUCGAUGCCGUCAGCAGGUGAAACUGUUUCAUCUAAACAGUGUACAGAAUCAGUAACACUGUCUUCUCGAUCUUCAAAUUCAGCUGGGAGUCAUCAAAAUAUUAAUACGAAAAGAAAGCAUUCCACAAGUGAGGACGUAGGUUCUGCAUUACUCGAAGUGGAAAAGAAGAAAGUUCAAUAUUUAGAAGAAAAGGGAUCACAAAAGGCAAAUGAAGACGAUGAUUUGAAUUUUUUUAGAAGCUUAUUGCCACAUAUCAAUACAUUAUCAUCUUAUGAUAAAAUGUCCUAUCGAAUAAAAAUAUUAAAAGUGACACAAGAUUUUUUGACAUCAAGCGAUCGAACAGAGAGAGCAGUUCAAAUCCAGCUACAAAAUCCAGCGCAAUAAAUAUUUCUAAUAACGCAAUCAAUCAUACUACUGAGAGUUACAUAAAUCAAACGAGUACGGCGUAAAUUACUACAAUAAUUGUCAGCCGAAGAAAGUGUUGUGUGCGUAAUCAUACGCGCUGUUUGAUGUCUGUCGGAAAAACCAAUCAAAAGUGACGGAUCGGAUGCCUUAUGAGUGCUUUAUUCUGUCAAGUGAGAUAAAUACGACUGUCACGUACGAUCUACGAAAGUUUGAUAAGAUCAUAUGCAAAAAUGCAAGAUUGCUUUGCGUGAUGCGCUUCUUCAAAAUAAAUAUGAGAUUCUUAUCAAUGUGAAAAACACUUAAUGUAGAUAUCUAAUUAAUUUACAAUUGUGUGCGCAUUUUUGAGAA
rnacentral:misc_RNA from 1 species